CGGCCGGCCACCGUGCACGGUGGUUCCGGUGGGCUAUGGAGAUAAUUCAACUUCCAGAGGCUUCCUCAUAAAUUUUUGGAAUUUUUGAGACACAGAUAAACUUCGGGUGAUCGAGGUCAGCUAUUUUUCUGCAUCCAGCAGCCACAAUAGUCAUCAGUAUACUGUGAGUAAAAUAUUAAUUUUAAUUGUAAUUUCACUAUUAUUAUAUGUUCAAGCAUGCCCAUGCAUCACUUAUAUGCAUAUAUUUAUGUAGUUAAACUCUAGGCACGAUUUAUGUUGCAUUCAUAACUGUUAAAGUGCCAUGGAUGUUGUUGUGGUAGCUUGGAGCAGUGUGCGUGCGUUGGCGUGAGUGUAAUGUGGUGUGGACUAUGGAUAGGACGGGUAGUCACGGCUUGAGUUCUUCGCUAGGACCCGAUCCUUCGGAGUAGUCACGGCUUGAGUUCUUCGCUGGGAGCCCCGAUUUGGUUUAUUAAGCUAAAGUCCGGCUUGAGUUCUUCGCUGGCACCAGGUUGGAUUUAAAAGAGCUGUAUAGGGGAUCAGCUCCCAUAUAUUAUGAUUGAUAUUACUGGGUGUGUGAGUGCUCCAAAUUACCUUUUUGCUGUUAUGAUGUGAAAUUAUUGUUGAUGUUGCAUUUCACUCUACAUGGUGCAUUAGCUUUAGAUAGUUAUAGAGAUUAUGGUUAAAAUUGAUAUUUUACUCUCUGAGUCGAACGCUCACUCCUGUUCAAUAUUUUUCUAGGCCACAGGAGGAGUUAUUUUACAGAGCAACCUGUUUUCUUCCUCGCAGGUUUAACGUCGAUUAUUUAAUUAUUUUACUAUCUUUUCUAAAUUUAAAAUCUAGAACUGCGCAUGUGUUAGUAAUAGUGUGGACCUUGUUAGAAAUUGUGUUAAUUUAAAUUUUUGAGAUUAAUAAAUGAAGAUUUGUAUGGUAUUUAACAGUUUGUAAAUGAGGUAACAGGGUUGAGCUGGGCUCCCCCUGAUUUUAGUUUCUGAAAAUUUCUGGGCUAAGUUGGCCCGAAAUAAAAUUAUAACAGUUUGAUUUAAAUUAUUUUAUAUGCAUAUUGGGCCUAAAUUGUGGGCCUGGUUAUGGAUUUGAGGAAUAGUUAGGCUUACUACGGGCCUCGGGGGCUUUAAGCUGGCCCAGGUCCUAGUGCCGGUCCGGCCGAUAGGUUGGGUUGUGACAUAUCCAAUGACUCUUUGGGGGUCUUUGCAUACUUGAUGAGUUGCAGCAAUUCAUCCUUCACUGAGAUUGACAAAGCAUACAUUGACAUUUCAUUUCUUAAGGUCUUCAAAAUUUGAUGGGAGGUGAUGUUUCAGCUCCUCCAACGAUCUCCCAUAAAUAUUAACCAAGCAGAUAAACUGCAUAGGAGUACUCCAAAUACUAUAAUUAUUAUUAUUGUUGAGUUUUUCUAAGGUUCUUACCAAAGUCGACAUGUUCACCAUAGUGACUUGGUUAUUUGCUCCAAUUAAUUAACCAAGUUUGAUCC